GCAUUGAUGGUGUAACGGUAACAUUGGGUCUUCCCAUGGCCUAGCCCCGGGUUCGACUCCCGGUCAAUGCA
rnacentral:tRNA from 2 species